UUUGAAAAAAUCACAAUUGAUUUAAAUCAUUCAAGUGUGUUCAUUCACUUACAAUAAACAAGAAUCUAAAUAACAUAGGCGAGAAAUCUGUAAAUUCCAAUAACAGAACACGCAGAACAGUUGUUGUAUUGGAUAAAAAUGUAUUAUGGAAGGGUGGUAUUAUUCCUUAUGAAUUUUCCUAUUUCAUUUCUGGAAAACAACGGAGAAUAAUUAGAAAGUCGAUGAGGGAGUGGGAGAAAUCAACAUGUGUCCAAUUCGUCCCAAUUAAUCGGCAGGUUUACCAAAAAUAUUUACUGUUCACUAAAAGCGAAUCAUGCAAAUGUUGUUUUGUCGACCAUGGGCCGGAAAUUUUAUAUCAAACUAUAAACUUAGUGGACCAAUGCUACCAUAGAAAUAUUCUUCUCCACGAAUUGGGACAUGUUAUUGGAUUCCUUCAUGAGCAUAAUCAUCCGGAGCGUGAUCAACACAUCAGUGUCAAUUUUUCUAUCGUCGAAAAUGGUAAAAUAAAUUAAAAUUAAA